GCUAGCUUCGGCACUGUGUAUACCAAAAUUGGAACGCCACAGAGAAGAUUCGCAUGGCCCCACACAAGGAUGCCACAAAUCUAGGAAGUGUUUCCGUAUUUCU